rnacentral:rRNA from 1 species
AUGAUUAGAGACCAUAAUGAGCUACAGUUUUUGCAUGAGAAGCAGGGUGGUAACCCCCGUUCGCAACAGUACAUGCAGGCCUUCCAAAAUGCCAUUGAUGAUUGUCGGUUGAGGGACCUGGGUUUUGUGGGUGACCCGUUUACGUGGAGAAGAGGACAAAUCUGAGAAAGGCUUGACCGAGGGUUAGUAAACGAUGCUUGGUCACUGAUUUUUCCCAAUGCCGCUCUAGAAAAUAUGGAGUUUAACCACUUGGAUCACAGGCUACUAUUUUUUUUGUAUAUGUACUGCAAGGCAACAGCCUCACAGCUCUUUAUUGAAAACAACAAAGAACAAAGUCCUAUUACAAGUCCAUACAAGAAGAGAAAAGAGGAAGACAAAAAUACUUACAAAGUUACAACCCAAGCAGGGCAAAGAAAAACACUACCUAAGGAAGGUUAG